GAGAAACAAAAUAAGGGGCCAGCCUCAGGCCCCGAAACAAGCAUAUGGGGCA
rfam:Macaca mulatta chromosome 1, whole genome shotgun sequence.